rnacentral:rRNA from 1 species
GACGGAGGAUGCAAGUGUUAUCCGGAAUGAUUGGGCGUAAAGCGUCUGUAGGUGGCUUUUUAAGUCCGCCGUCAAAUCCCAGGGCUCAACCCUGGACAGGCGGUGGAAACUACCAAGCUGGAGUACGGUAGGGGCAGAGGGAAUUUCCGGUGGAGCGGUGAAAUGCGUAGAGAUCGGAAAGAACACCAACGGCGAAGGCGGCGCUCUGGGCCGGAACUGACGCUGAGGAGCGAAAGCGUGGGUAGCAAACAGG